AGCAGCAGCCGCGGGAAAACGUAGGGUGCAAGCGUUGUCCGGAAUUAUUGGGCGUAAAGCGCGCGCAGGCGGAUCAGUCAGUCUGUCUUAAAAGUUCGGGGCUUAACCCCGUGAUGGGAUGGAAACUGCCGAUCUAGAGUAUCGGAGAGGAAAGUGGAAUUCCUAGUGUAGCGGUGAAAUGCGUAGAUAUUAGGAAGAACACCAGUGGCGAAGGCGACUUUCUGGACGAAAACUGACGCUGAGGCGCGAAAGCCAGGGGAGCGAACGGGAUUAGAUACCCCGGUAGUCCCUGUCUCUUAUACA
rnacentral:rRNA from 1 species